rnacentral:rRNA from 1 species
CCGGGAGGUGGGAUGAGUCAAUCAUCAUGCCCUUAUGACUUGGGCUACACACGUGCUACAAUGGACAGAACAAAGGGCAGCGAAACCGCGAGGUUAAGCCAAUCCCACAAAUCUGUUCUCAGUUCGGAUUGCAGUCUGCAACUCGACUGCGUGAAGCUGGAAUCGCUAGUAAUCGCGGAUCAGCAUGCCGCGGUGAAUACGUUCCCGGGCCUUGUACACACCGCCCGUCACACCACGAGAGUUUGUAACACCCGAAGUCGGUGAGGUAACCUUUUAGGAGCCAGCCGCCGAAGGUGGACAGAUGAUUGGGGG